rnacentral:rRNA from 1 species
CCUACGGGAGGCAGCAGUGGGGAAUAUUGGACAAUGGGGGCAACCCUGAUCCAGCCAUGCCGCGUGUGUGAAGAAGGCCCUCGGGUUGUAAAGCACUUUCAGUGAGGAAGAACGCCUGGUGGUUAAUACCCAUCAGGAAAGACAUCACUCACAGAAGAAGCACCGGCUAACUCCGUGCCAGCAGCCGCGGUAAUACGGAGGGUGCGAGCGUUAAUCGGAAUUACUGGGCGUAAAGCGCGCGUAGGUGGCUUGAUAAGCCGGUUGUGAAAGCCCCGGGCUCAACCUGGGAACGGCAUCCGGAACUGUCAAGCUAGAGUGCAGGAGAGGAAGGUAGAAUUCCCGGUGUAGCGGUGAAAUGCGUAGAGAUCGGGAGGAAUACCAGUGGCGAAGGCGGCCUUCUGGACUGACACUGACACGGAGGUGCGAAAGCGUGGGUAGCAAACAGGAUUAGAUACCCCUGUAGUC